UGGCUCUGGCAUCGAUGAAGAACGCAGCGAAAUGCGGUACGUAAUGUGAAUUGCAGAAUCCAGUGAAUCAUCGAAUCUUUGAACGCACAUUGCGCCCGCCAGUACUCUGGCGGGCAUGCCUGUCCGAGCGUCAUUUCAACCCUCGAACCCCUCCGGGGGCUCGGUGUUGGAGACCGGCGAACCCGGCCCCCCGCCCUCGCGGCGGGGACCGGGCGCCGCCUCCGAAAUCCAGUGGCGGUCCCGCCGCAGCCUUCCCUGCGCAGUAGCAUCUUAUUUCGCACGGGAGAGCGGCGCGGCCACGCCGUAAAACGCCCAACCUUUUUACCAACGGUUGACCUCGGAUCAGGUAGGACUACCCGCUGA
rnacentral:misc_RNA from 1 species